rnacentral:rRNA from 1 species
GACGAACGCUGGCGGCGUGCCUAAUACAUGCAAGUCGAACGAACUCUGGUAUUGAUUGGUGCUUGCAUCAUGAUUUACAUUUGAGUGAGUGGCGAACUGGUGAGUAACACGAGGGAAACCUGCCCAGAAGCGGGGGAUAACACCUGGAAACAGAUGCUAAUACCGCAUAACAACUUGGACCGCAUGGUCCGAGCUUGAAAGAUGGCUUCGGCUAUCACUUUUGGAUGGUCCCGCGGCGUAUUAGCUAGAUGGUGGGGUAACGGCUCACCAUGGCAAUGAUACGUAGCCGACCUGAGAGGGUAAUCGGCCACAUUGGGACUGAGACACGGCCCAAACUCCUACGGGAGGCAGCAGUAGGGAAUCUUCCACAAUGGACGAAAGUCUGAUGGAGCAACGCCGCGUGAGUGAAGAAGGGUUUCGGCUCGUAAAACUCUGUUGUUAAAGAAGAACAUAUCUGAGAGUAACUGUUCAGGUAUUGACGGUAUUUAACCAGAAAGCCACGGCUAACUACGUGCCAGCAGCCGCGGUAAUACGUAGGUGGCAAGCGUUGUCCGGAUUUAUUGGGCGUAAAGCGAGCGCAGGCGGUUUUUUAAGUCUGAUGUGAAAGCCUUCGGCUCAACCGAAGAAGUGCAUCGGAAACUGGGAAACUUGAGUGCAGAAGAGGACAGUGGAACUCCAUGUGCAGCGGUGAAAUGCGUAGAUAUAUGGAAGAACACCAGUAGCGAAGGCGGCUGUCUGGUCUGUAACUGACGCUGAGGCUCGAAAGUAUGGGUAGCAAACAGGAUUAGAUACCCUGGUAGUCCAUACCGUAAACGAUGAAUGCUAAGUGUUGGAGGGUUUCCGCCCUUCAGUGCUGCAGCUAACGCAUUAAGCAUUCCGCCUGGGGAGUACGGCCGCAAGGCUGAAACUCAAAGGAAUUGACGGGGGCCCGCACAAGCGGUGGAGCAUGUGGUUUAAUUCGAAGCUACGCGAAGAACCUUACCAGGUCUUGACAUACUAUGCAAAUCUAAGAGAUUAGACGUUCCCUUCGGGGACAUGGAUACAGGUGGUGCAUGGUUGUCGUCAGCUCGUGUCGUGAGAUGUUGGGUUAAGUCCCGCAACGAGCGCAACCCUUAUUAUCAGUUGCCAGCAUUAAGUUGGGCACUCUGGUGAGACUGCCGGUGACAAACCGGAGGAAGGUGGGGAUGACGUCAAAUCAUCAUGCCCCUUAUGACCUGGGCUACACACGUGCUACAAUGGAUGGUACAACGAGUUGCGAACUCGCGAGAGUAAGCUAAUCUCUUAAAGCCAUUCUCAGUUCGGAUUGUAGGCUGCAACUCGCCUACAUGAAGUCGGAAUCGCUAGUAAUCGCGGAUCAGCAUGCCGCGGUGAAUACGUUCCCGGGCCUUGUACACACCGCCCGUCACACCAUGAGAGUUUGUAACACCCAAAGCCGGUGGGGUAACCUUUUAGGAACCAGCCGCCUAAGGUGGGACAGAUGAUUAGGGUG